rnacentral:rRNA from 1 species
UGGGUUCAGAACGUCGCGAGACAGUUUGGUCCCUAUCUGCCGUGGGUGUUCGAGAAUUGAGAGGAGCUGCUCCUAGUACGAGAGGACCGGAGUGGACAUGUCACUAGUGUAUCGGUUGUGACGCCAGUCGCAUCGCCGAGUAGCCAUAACAUGGAAGAGAUAACCGCUGAAAGCAUCUAAGCGGGAAACUCACCUCAAAAUUAGUUCUCGCCAUCAGGGACGUGGAAGACCACCACGUUGAUAGGCUGGGUGUGGAAGCGCAGUAAUGCGUGAAGCUAACCAGUACUAAUAUCCCGAUUGGCUUGAUACU